UGGGGAAUAUUGCGCAAUGGGCGAAAGCCUGACGCAGCAACGCCGCGUGAGGGAUGACGGCCCUCGGGUUGUAAACCUCUUUCGGCAGGGACGAAGCGAAAGUGACGGUACCUGCAGAAGAAGCACCGGCUAACUACGUGCCAGCAGCCGCGGUAAUACGUAGGGUGCGAGCGUUGUCCGGAAUUAUUGGGCGUAAAGAGCUUGUAGGUGGUCCUUCACGUCUGCUGUGAAAUCUCAGGGCUCAACCCUGAGCUUGCAGUGGAUACGGGAGGACUCGAGUUCGGCUGGGGAGACUGGAACUCCUGGUGUAGCGGUGGAAUGCGCAGAUAUCAGGAAGAACACCGGUGGCGAAGGCGGGUCUCUGAACCGAUACUGACACUGAGAAGCGAAAGCGUGGGGAGCAAACAG
rnacentral:rRNA from 1 species